AAGUCAUAACAAGGUUUCCGUAGGUGAACCUGCGGAAGGAUCAUUAGUGAUUUGGCCGAGAGGCCUUUUAAUCCAAUCCUCACACCUGUGAACUCGUCGGUGGGCUUCGGCCCGCCGGACACUUACAAUACUAUGUGUAAUGAACGUCAUAUAACAUAACAAAAACAAAACUUUCAACAACGGAUCUCUUGGCUCUC
rnacentral:misc_RNA from 1 species